GCUAUAAACAAACAACAAUACGAAACAAAGAGAGAUGCAAUAUGAUUGCUGAUGGCACUAUUAUACACAGCAACAACAACAAAAAAACAGGAAAAAGAUAUAAAGAACUACAGAAUAUGUGUACUCAGAGGAAUAGCUCAACAGCAGAAUGUGCAUAGUGAUGCUGUUAUCAUGGCUUGGCAAUAUCUUGUACAGAAUCUAAGCACUGCUGUUAAAGGUACCUGUCGCUAAGAAGAUUGGCUAGUUAGAAAACAUCAGUACCAAGUACUAUGAAGUAGGCAAUUGGAUUAUAUUAGAUGGAAAAAUCUGUUGAUUCAA